rnacentral:rRNA from 1 species
UCGAGGGGCAGCAUUCUUCUAGCAAUAGAAGAGAUGGCGACCGGCGCACGGGUGAGUAACACGUAUCCAACCUGCCGAUAACUCCGGAAUAGCCUUUCGAAAGAAAGAUUAAUACCGGAUAGCAUACGAAUAUCGCAUGAUAUUUUUAUUAAAGAAUUUCGGUUAUCGAUGGGGAUGCGUUCCAUUAGUUUGUUGGCGGGGUAACGGCCCACCAAGACUACGAUGGAUAGGGGUUCUGAGAGGAAGGUCCCCCACAUUGGAACUGAGACACGGUCCAAACUCCUACGGGAGGCAGCAGUGAGGAAUAUUGGUCAAUGGGCGAGAGUCUGAACCAGCCAAGUAGCGUGAAGGAUGAAGGCUCUAUGGGUCGUAAACUUCUUUUAUAUGGGAAUAAAGUAUUCCACGUGUGGAAUUUUGUAUGUACCAUAUGAAUAAGGAUCGGCUAACUCCGUGCCAGCAGCCGCGGUAAUACGGAGGAUCCGAGCGUUAUCCGGAUUUAUUGGGUUUAAAGGGAGCGUAGGUGGAUUGUUAAGUCAGUUGUGAAAGUUUGCGGCUCAACCGUAAAAUUGCAGUUGAAACUGGGAGUCUUGAGUACAGUAGAGGUGGGCGGAAUUCGUGGUUAGC